rnacentral:rRNA from 1 species
GGACCACCAGUGGCGAAGGCGCCCGGCUGGAACGCGCCCGACGGUGAGGGACGAAAGCCAGGGGAGCGAACCGGAUUAGAUACCCGGGUAGUCCUGGCUGUAAACGAUGCGGGCUAGGUGUUGGGCGGGCUUCGAGCCCGCCCAGUGCCGUAGGGAAGCCGUUAAGCCCGCCGCCUGGGGAGUACGGCCGCAAGGCUGAAACUUAAAGGAAUUGGCGGGGGAGCACCACAAGGGGUGAAGCCUGCGGUUUAAUUGGAUUCAACGCCGGGAAUCUUACCGGGGGCGACAGCAGGAUGAAGGCCAGGCUAAAGACCUUGCCAGACGAGCUGAGAGGAGGUGCAUGGCCGUCGCCAGCUCGUGCCGUGAGGUGUCCUGUUAAGUCAGGCAACGAGCGAGACCCCCGCCCCCAGUUGCCAGCGGGUCCCGUUGGGACGCCGGGCACACUGGGGGGACUGCCGGCGAGAAGCCGGAGGAAGGUGGGGGCCACGGCAGGUCAGUAUAAGGAGGUCAGCCCGGAGGCUAUAGAGAUGUCGGAGGGAACUAAAGAAAUCUUAGCUUAUCUAGUGGGAGUUAUUAGCGGAAGUGGAAAAUUAGAAGUUAAUAGACCCAACAUUGUAAUAAUUGAUAAGAGUGAACAGUUUAUCGCUAAUAUAAUUGCUCCCUACAUCCGUAGGAUUGUGGGUAGAGACCCUUCAAUAGCUUAUGAUAAAGAUACAAAAACGUGGAGAGUUGUAGUUAAAUCGACCAAUUUCUGGAAAAUGUUGAACGUCGAAUAUUUAAUUCCCCUAGGUGACAAAUCGGAAAUAUUAGUUGUUCCACGCAUAAUUUCGCAAAGCGCAAUAAAAGUUCAAAAAGCCUAUAUAAAAGGAUGGCUUGACGUUAAAGCUCACCUAAAGAUAAUUAAAAGGGGUACCCAUAGCUACCCUAGACUCAUCUUUAAAACAAAAAGUAAACCAAUUCGAGACUUUAUCUCAAAACGUCUCAAUACUUGGAAUGUAAUCACCAAAAAUUAUGCUGAAAAAAGAUUUUAUGAAUUUCAAAUAGCUGAUUGUACAAAUCUAAUCCGGUACAAAAAAAUUAUCGGAUUUAAACAUCCGGAGAAAAGAAAAAAGUUAAAUCUCAUCCUCCGGCAUCUCUGCUAGAUCCGGGCUGCCUCCUGCUGAAGCCCCGAAUCCCCCGGGCUACACGCGGGCUGCAAUGGCGGGGACAAUGGGUUCCGACCCCGAAAGGGGAAGGAAAUCCCAUAAACCCCGCCGCAGUUGGGAUCGAGGGCUGCAACUCGCCCUCGUGAACGUGGAAUCCCUAGUAACCGCGCGUCAUCAUCGCGCGGUGAAUACGUCCCUGCUCCUUGCACACACCGCCCGUCGCUCCACCCGAGUCCAGUCGGGGUGAGGUGCGGUCCCGAAAGGGGUCGUACCGAACCCUGGCUGGGCAAGGGGGGAGAAGUCGUAACAAGGUAGCCGUAGGGGAACCUGCGGCUGGAUCACCUCCUA